CUAGUCGUGCGAGUUCAGACUCGCGGCACCGAGCUCAGUAACACGUGGCCAAACUACCCUACAGAGACGGAUACCUUCGGGAAACUGAGGUUAACCCGUCAUACCGAUCUCAGGCUUGAAUCGCAGAGAUCACAAAAUGCCCCGGCGCUGUAGGAUGUGGCUGCGGUUGAUUAGGUAGACGGUGGGGUAACGGCCCACCGUGCCCAUAAUCAGUACAGGUUGUGAGAGCAAGAACCUGGAGACGGAAUCUGAGACAAGAUUCCGGGCCCUACGGGGCGCAGCAGGCGCGAAACCUUUACACUGCACGCACGUGCGAUAAGGGGACUCCGAGUGCGAGGGCAUAUCGUCCUCGCUUUCGUGUACCGUAGGGUGGUACAUCAACGAGGGCUGGGCAAGACCGGUGCCAGCCGCCGCGGUAAUACCGGCAGCCCGAGUGAUGGCCGAUCUUAUUGGGCCUAAAGCGUCCGUAGCUGGCUGCGCAAGUCCGUCGGGAAAUCCACUCGCCCAACGAGUGGGCGUCCGACGGAAACUGCACAGCUUGGGACCGGAAGGCUCGAAGGGUACGUUCGGGGUAGGAGUGAAAUCCCAUAAUCCCGCACGGACACCGAAGGCGAAAGCACUUCGAGAAAACGGAUCCGACAGUGAGGGACGAAAGCCAGGGUCUCCAACCGGAUUAGAUACCCCGGUAGUC
rnacentral:rRNA from 1 species